GCCAGUGUGGUGUACUGGUUUGCGUGUUGGACUAGGACUCUGAACACCAGGGUUCAAAUCCCUGCUCACACA